rnacentral:lncRNA from 1 species
GGGAGCAGGUGGGUCUCUUUUCCCUUUAGGGUUAGGGUUGCGAUACUAUCCAGAUCGAAAUAUGUUAUUCUUCUUUUCUUUUGACUUUCUUUUCUAAGCCCCAGAUCUACAUUCUUUAGCAUGUUGCAUGGUUAUAUCAAGUGUGCUAGCUGGAGGUGGUGGGAUCCCUUCUGCUUUGGUGCCUGUUCGUCGACGAACACCAACGAGGUAUGCACCCCUUUCUCUCCCUUUGUCGUUGUUUGUAGGAGGAGCUCCUUGUAUGC